rnacentral:tRNA from 1 species
GCCCGUGUAGCUCAGUUGGUAGAGCAGGUGACUCUUAAUCACUUGGUCGGGGGUUCGAAUCCUCCCGCGGGCACAA